GACGAAGGAUGCAAGCGUUAUCCGGAUUCAUUGGGUUUAAAGGGAGCGUAGGCGGUCUUGUAAGUCAGUGGUGAAAUCUCGAGGCUUAACUUCGAAAUUGCCAUUGAUACUGCAGGACUUGAGUACAGUUGCCGUUGGCGGAAUAUGACAUGUAGUGGUGAAAUACAUAGAGAUGUCAUAGAACACCGAUUGCGAAGGCAGCUAACGAAACUGUAACUGACGCUGAGGCUCGAAAGUGUGGGGAUCAAACAGG
rnacentral:rRNA from 1 species